UACGUAGGGGGCGAGCGUUGUCCGGAAUCAUUGGGCGUAAAGCGCGUGUAGGCGGUUCGGUAAGUCUGCUGUGAAAGUCCAGGGCUCAACCCUGGGAUGCCGGUGGAUACUGCUGAACUAGAGUGCGGAAGAGGCGAGUGGAAUUCCCGGUGUAGCGGUGAAAUGCGCAGAUAUCAGGAGGAACACCAAUUGCGAAAGCAGCUCGCUGGGACGUUACUGACGCUGAGACGCGAAAGCGUGGGGAGCAAACAGG
rnacentral:rRNA from 1 species